ensembl:lncRNA
UGAGAAAUGAAGGACUAAGGUAUUAGCAGAUAAAAGCAAGGCCCUUGCUGGGGCCCUGGAGCCAAUGAAGCAGGCCCUCCUUGUGGGGAGAGAGAUUGAUAUUGACCGAAGACUGCAGGACUCCAAGAUGGCGGCAGCCACUCCAGUGAAAAGAAAGAAACUCACAGAUGUCAAAAUAGGGGAGCUGCCAAGCAGGAUAUGGAUGUGGGAUUUCACCCCAGAGACACUGUUGGAGCGUCUCAAAGCAGUUACUACCGGUUCUACAACAGGUAUGUCUAGUGAGGAAAAAAAGGUGUAACUGGGUUUUUCUGGUCUGGCGGCUUACAUGGUUUCCAACUAUCGCCUUUCUCACAAAGGAG